rnacentral:rRNA from 1 species
GGUUCAAAAGUGAAAGACGGUCUUGCUGUCACUUAUAGAUGGAUCCGCGCUGCAUUAGCUAGUUGGUAAGGUAACGGCUUACCAAGGCAACGAUGCAUAGCCGACCUGAGAGGGUGAUCGGCCACACUGGAACUGAGACACGGUCCAGACUCCUACGGGAGGCAGCAGUAGGGAAUCUUCCGCAAUGGGCGAAAGCCUGACGGAGCAACGCCGCGUGAGUGAUGAAGGUCUUCGGAUCGUAAAACUCUGUUAUUAGGGAAGAACAUAUGUGUAAGUAACUGUGCACAUCUUGACGGUACCUAAUCAGAAAGCCACGGCUAACUACGUGCCAGCAGCCGCGGUAAUACGUAGGUGGCAAGCGUUAUCCGGAAUUAUUGGGCGUAAAGCGCGCGUAGGCGGUUUUUUAAGUCUGAUGUGAAAGCCCACGGCUCAACCGUGGAGGGUCAUUGGAAACUGGAAAACUUGAGUGCAGAAGAGGAAAGUGGAAUUCCAUGUGUAGCGGUGAAAUGCGCAGAGAUAUGGAGGAACACCAGUGGCGAAGGCGACUUUCUGGUCUGUAACUGACGCUGAUGUGCGAAAGCGUGGGGAUCAAACAGGAUUAGAUACCCUGGUAGUCCACGCCGUAAACGAUGAGUGCUAAGUGUUAGGGGGUUUCCGCCCCUUAGUGCUGCAGCUAACGCAUUAAGCACUCCGCCUGGGGAGUACGACCGCAAGGUUGAAACUCAAAGGAAUUGACGGGGACCCGCACAAGCGGUGGAGCAUGUGGUUUAAUUCGAAGCAACGCGAAGAACCUUACCAAAUCUUGACAUCCUUUGACAACUCUAGAGAUAGAGCUUUCCCCUUCGGGGGACAAAGUGACAGGUGGUGCAUGGUUGUCGUCAGCUCGUGUCGUGAGAUGUUGGGUUAAGUCCCGCAACGAGCGCAACCCUUAAGCUUAGUUGCCAUCAUUAAGUUGGGCACUCUAAGUUGACUGCCGGUGACAAACCGGAGGAAGGUGGGGAUGACGUCAAAUCAUCAUGCCCCUUAUGAUUUGGGCUACACACGUGCUACAAUGGACAAUACAAAGGGCAGCGAAACCGCGAGGUCAAGCAAAUCCCAUAAAGUUGUUCUCAGUUCGGAUUGUAGUCUGCAACUCGACUACAUGAAGCUGGAAUCGCUAGUAAUCGUAGAUCAGCAUGCUACGGUGAAUACGUUCCCGGGUCUUGUACACACCGCCCGUCACACCACGAGAGUUUGUAACACCCGAAGCCGGUGGAGUAACCUUUUAGGAGCUAGCCGUCGAAGGUGGGACAAAUGAUUGGGGUGAAGUCGUAACAAGGUAGCCGUAUCGGAAGGUGCGGCUGGAUCACCUCCUUU